UCUGGCGGCAGUAGCGCGGUGGUCCCACCUGACCCCAUGCCGAACUCAGAAGUGAAACGCCUUAGCGCCGAUGGUAGUGUGGGGUCUCCCCAUGCGAGAGUAGGGAACUGCCAGAC
rnacentral:rRNA from 1 species